AUGAAAGAAUGCCCUUGUUCAUUGUCCAUCCCAGGAAGCAGGGACACUUGGGACCCUCCCUAUUCAUCUCGAUCCUCCGCCCGCUCGCCGGCCUGGAAUGAAUGCCUCCCUUUUAUCCGCUCCGAGGAUGGCCGGGCCUUGUCGGGGGCAGACCGGGAGGAGGAGGGGAUCGGGGGCUGCCCUGGGCCCCCUCCCGGGUCUCCUAAAGGGUCAGCUUUUCCGGACGUGGGGAGUUUACCUCUUGGCGAAACUCAGCCUCGGCCACCUGAAGACCAGCCCCCAGUCCCUCCCGCCCCUUACCACCCAGGACACCCCAGACCGACACUCAGACACCAGCACGUGGUCCAGGGGCCCCAGCUUCCCAUUGGCUGCUCGUCUCCUUCCUUCCCCGCGAUUGGCAGGAGCCCAGCCUCAGGUCCCCCCUCCGCGCCCUACGGUGGUACAGCCUGCCGUGGCUUAGGCGGGGUGGGAAGGUCCACUGCGCCGCGGCGCGGGGGGAGUGGGUCGGGAAGAGCCGGGCGAGGCGGAGGGAUCCCUUUGGAAUGUUUCCGUCGAAACCACCCGGGGCGGGGCGGCACGGCGCGGAUUGGCCACGAGCGUCGGACGGCCGCUUCUGAUUGGCGGGGUGCGGGCGCCGGCCCCGCCCCCUGGCCGCGGCUGCGGGAGAGGCCCGGCCCGGAGUUUGCGGAGGGCCGAGCGGGGCGCGCGCAGGGUGGCGGCGGCGGCGCAGGUGAGUGCCCCCCGCGGGCGGGGCGCGGCGCGGCCGCUCCGGGGACCCCAGCGCGGGCCUGCGGGGCCGCAGACGCGCGGGAUCCGGCGGAUCGAGCGGGGCGGGGCCGGCCCCAGGGACAUGGCUGGAAGUCUAGGUUGGGCGCCAGGAUGCCCGAGGCCCCUUCCCAGAGGGGCGCCUGUCUUUCCGCUGGGGGCAGGGUCAGACGCUUCCCGCCGCUCAAACGGGGCCGACAGGCCACCCUGCCCCCUGCGCUCCUCUGGACAAUCCCCCUCCCGGCAGGGACAGCCGCGGGGUCGGUAUUUCUGAGCCCUGCCUGGGCAUCUCCCUGGAGGUGGCCUCGUCCCCAUCCUCCAGGGCCUAGAGGAACCUGGGGAGGACCGAGGUCCCGACAAUAA
rnacentral:lncRNA from 1 species